rnacentral:rRNA from 1 species
UACGUAGGGUGCGAGCGUUAAUCGGAAUUACUGGGCGUAAAGCGUGCGCAGGCGGUCUGUUAAGACAGAUGUGAAAUCCCCGGGCUUAACCUGGGAAUGGCGCUUGUGACUGGUAGGCUAGAGUACGUCAGAGGGGGGUGGAAUUCCACGUGUAGCAGUGAAAUGCGUAGAGAUGUGGAGGAACACCGAUGGCGAAGGCAGCCCCCUGGGAUGAUACUGACGCUCAGGCACGAAAGCGUGGGGAGCAAACAGG